rnacentral:rRNA from 1 species
GAUGAACGCUGGCGGCGUGCCUAAUACAUGCAAGUCGAACGAACAGACGAGGAGCUUGCUCCUUUGACGUUAGCGGCGGACGGGUGAGUAACACGUAGGUAACCUACCUAUAAUACGGGGAUAACUACGGAAAACCGGAUCUAAUACCGGAGAAUAUUUCGCACCGCGGGGGUCGAUAGUGAAAGAUGGCUUUGGUGUCAGUUAUAGCUGCACCUGCGCCGGAUGAGCUGGUGGGUAAGGUAAUGGCCUACCAAGGCAACGAUCCGUAGCCGACCUGAGAGGGUGAUUGGCGACACUGGAACUGAGACACGGUCCAGACUCCUACGGGAGGCAGCAGUAGGGAAUCUUGCGCAAUGGGCGCAAGCCUGACGCAGCAAGGCCGCGUGAGUGAUGAAGGCCUUCGGAUCGUAAAGCUCUGUUAUUAGGAAAGAACAAACGUGUAAGUAAAUGUGGACGUCUUGACGGUACCUAAUCAGAAAGCAACGGCUAACUACGUG